AAAAUGAGCCGGUCCAAGCAGAGUGAGCAAGCCGAGCGGUUGUGUGUUUGCAUCUCGGAAGUAGCUCUUGCAGCAUGGCUGACCAACUGACUGAAGAGUAGAUGGCAGAAUUCAAAGAAGUUUUUUCACUAUUUGACAAGGAUGGUGAUAGAACUAUAACAACAAAGGAAUUGGGAACUGUAAUGAGGUGUCUUGAGCAAAAUCCCACAGAAGUAGAGUUACAGGACAUGAUUAAUGAAGUAGAUGCUGAUGGUAAUGGCACAAUUGACUUCCCUGAAUUUCUGACAAUGAUGGCAAGAAAAAUGAAAGAUACAGAGAGUGAAGAAGAAAUUAGAGAAGCAUUCCAUGUGUUUGAUAAGGAUGGCAAUGGCUAUAUUAGUGCAGCAGAGCUUCGCCAUGUGAUGACAAACCUUGGAGAGAAGUUAACAGAUGAAGAGGUUGAUGAAAUGAUCAGGAAAGCAGAUAUCGAUGGUGAUGGUCAGGUAAACUAUGAAGAGUUUGUACAAAUGAUGACAGCAAAGUGAAGACAUUGUACCAAAUGUGUUAAAUUUAUUGUACAAAAUUGUUUAUUUGCCUUUUCUUUGUAACUUAUCUGUAAAAAGUUUCUCCCUACUGUGAAAAAAAUAUGCGUGUAUAGUAAUUAGGACUUCAUUCCUCCAUGUUUUCUCCCUUAUCUUACUGUCAUUGUCCUGAAACCUUAUUUUAGAAAAUUGAUCAAGUAACA